rnacentral:rRNA from 1 species
AAAAACAUUGCUUUUAGAAACCUUAUUAAAAGUUCAUCCUGCCCAGUGAUAUUUCAACGGCCGCGGUACCCUAACCGUGCAAAGGUAGCAUAAUCAUUUGCCUUUUAAUUGAAGGCUAGUAUGAACGGACAAACGAAAUUUAUACUGUAUCAGCUACACAAACCAAAAUUUAAACUUCAGGUGAAGAUGCCUGAAUUAUAUUGAAAGACAAGAAGACCCUAUAGAGUUUUAGUUUUAAUUAUUUCCCAUAAAAAUAAAACUUUGGUUGGGGCGACCUAGGAAUUACAAAAACAUCCUAAUAUUCAACGACCAUAUGUCACUAUAAUGAUCCUACUACUAGAAUUCAAAAUAAACUACCUUAGGGAUAACAGGCUUAUCUUCCUAGAGAGUUCAAAUUGACAGGAAGGUCUGGCACCUCGAUGUUGGCUUAGAAUAACCCUAUAAUGCAAAAGUUAUAUCGGGUCGGUUUGUUCAACCGUUAAACUUCUACGUGAU